rnacentral:lncRNA from 1 species
AGCCACAGCCACGCCAGAUCCAAGCUGUGCCUGUGACCUACACCACAGCUCACAGCAAUGCCGGAUCCUUAACCCGCUCAAGGAGACCAGGGAUCGAACCUGCGUCCUCACGGAUACUACUCGGGUUUGUUCCCACUGAGCCCCAGUGGGAACUCCAGGACUAUAUUCUCUCAACAAUGGCACCCAGCUGUCUCAGGGAGCUGUCUGAGUCCUGAUUCUGCCACUCUGUGUGGGCACCACCCUUCCCACCUGUGUGUGACCUACAGAGCUGACAGGCAGGCCUUUGUGCGUGCCGCCACGAUGGAAAGAAACGUUGAGAAGGAUGAGACCAGCGCAGGCUGUUUUUACAAAAACAUAUCUGAAGCAAAGCCACGAGGACCCAACCAACAGCCCAGCAGGGAGAAGGCUCCCUUCUUCUGCAAGCCCGCAGGGACCCCCACGUCCUAGAGAGAACUGCACCGAGGUAUGUGACAUGGGGAAACCCUAGACCAGCGUGGGGGAUGCUCCCCACCCCUCCUGGGGACAGGUGGCAAAGACUGACGUCAGUUUUGGUUGCCACAACGGGGGCGGGGUGUGGGAUGCGUGCUUCUGUCACCCGCAGGGUACAGACCCAAGGGGCUACAACACACGGGACGGCACCCACCCCUAACAAAGAGCCAUGCAGCUCAAAAGGUCAGCAGUGCUGAGGCUGAGGAACCCUGUCCUGGAUCGCCCACUCAUAAAGUCAAAAACAAUAACACAUGGUAAGUUUUGACAUGGUGGACGCCCCGAGGAAAAGGUCCCUGUGACUUAGUGAGACACACCGUUCACGGAGAUGCUGGCACGCUAGCAAGGUGGAGAAUGGGGCGUCCGCACUCUCCCACCUCUCCCCGCCUCACUCGACAAUCAGCAACAGUAAGACGUCCAGAGGCUGCUUUCCAUUCUGAAGUGUCAUCAACUGCAGCUCUAUUAUUGUUCAAACAUGUAGAGUAAGCAGACUAUUUUUAACACAGGCAGUUGCUCCAAAAUGCUCAGCAUUAAUGACUAGUUACGAGCGUUACACAAUUAUCAUUUCAAAUCAUUCUAAUUCCUCAGGUUCACUUGUUUGCAUGCUUAUGACAAUGCUUGCACAGGAACUAACUUCUGAUUUCUUCUCCUUAAGAGAUAAAUUUCAAAUGUUAUUUUGACGAUGCGUUUUCUUGGUAUGUCUAUACUUUCAUAAAUAGCACAAAGAUGAUUUAUUUGUUUGCAAAUGGAGCACUGAGCAGAAUGUCACCAAGUAAUUACUACUUUUAAAUUAUUUUGAUGUUUAUAAUGUUCACAAGAAAUCAAAACUAAGGUAUCUAAUUUCUACCACACAACUCAGGAUCCAAGCCACGUCUGCAAACUACACCACAGCUCAUGGCAACACUGAAUCCUUAACCCACUGAUCGAGGCCAGGGAUGGAACCCACAUCCUCAGGGAUACUAGUUGGGUUGGUUACUGCUGAGCCACAAGGGAAACUCCCUAAUUCCUACCACUGUUUAUUAGCUAAAAUAAUGUAAAUACUAGAGAGGGAAGGAAAGAAUCCAUGCAUCUUCCACUUUCCUGCAACUGUCUGAUACAUAACCUAGAUGAGUCAGAAAUCCCCAAAUGCCCUCUGCCGCCCAGGUCGCAAUUACAAGCCAACGGCCAGAGACCUCUGCGCUUUCUGAUUCUCAGUGGCCAGAGGACACUGUCUGAAGAAUCAUUCUGUCGCAUGGUGACUGCAAAAGGUCUCCAGAAUUCUUUCAGAAAGUACUGUGGAACAUUACAGAAUCAAGAUAAUACCAACGUCUUUCCAUCAAAGACCAGACAGGAAAACAACAGCAGCUAAUUAUCGUUGGGGAUUCUUGAUUCAUUGCAGCCUGGGAGACCACACACCUUGGGGCCUCCUCAGCAUCUCUGUGAAGUGUUACCGUAGAAGGUGGGCCUGUGUUAAGAGACUUGAGGGAGGCGUCAAGAAAGUAAGGCUUUGCUUUGAACUGGAUGCUGUAAGAAAGCAGAGGUAAUUCCACCAGUGGGCAUCUUGAUAAAGUCAUCUAGGAGGCAGCAAGGGAAGCUGUAAUGAGUCAAGAGGAGCAAUCAGUCCCAUUACCCAAGAACGUGGGAGAUGUGGUCAUUUUGCAGUGUGGAGGAUGUGUGCAUUUUUGUCCACGAUCCAACUUGAUCAUGGAGCAGUCUUGCUUUUUUUUUUCCUUGACCACUGCGGUUUUAGAUCAGCCUUGUCUGACACUGGUAAUUCUGUGAAAUGGUUUCUGUUCAGCAAGAGAACACCAGGACCUAGGUGCGAAAGCCAGGCUGGCCCCCGGCUGCUUUUCUGUCUCUCAGUGAGAACAUGAGCCCAGCCGCAAGGAAAGGGAGGUUUGGUCUCCUGCAAUCUAAAUCCACAAAGAGCCUGCCUCUGCUGGUCAGCACGCAGCCAACCUCCACGCUGGGUCCAAGGAGAAGCGUCACUUUGGAGACCUAUGUCAACGAUUUACACUAACUCGGAGUUCCCAACAUGGCUCAGUGGCAAGGAACCUGACUAGGAGCCAUGAGGACUCGGGUUCAAACCUUGGCCUCAAUCAGUGGUUUAAGGAUCUGUCCUUGUCGUGAGCGGUGGCGUAGGUCACAGACGUGGCUCAGAUCUGGCAUUGCUGUGGUGCAGGCUGGCAGCUGUAGCUCCAAUUUGACCCCUAGCUUGGAAACUUCCAUAUGCCGCAGGUGCCACCCCCCCCAAAAAAAAAAAA